rnacentral:rRNA from 1 species
CAAUAGCGUAUAUUAAAGUUGUUGCAGUUAAAAAGCUCGUAGUUGGAUUUCUGGUAGGAGUGACCGUUCCGAACUUGAUUGUUCGUGUAUUGUGUUUUCUCCAGCCAUCCUUGUGGAGAACUUUUCUUGCAUUAAUUUGUAGGGAUUGGGACCCGCAUCGUUUACUGUGAAAAAAUUAGAGUGUUUAAAGCAGGCAAUCGCUUGAAUACAUUAGCAUGGAAUAAUAAGAUAGGACUUUGGUACUAUUUUGUUGGUUUGCAUACCAAAUCAAUGAUCAACAGGAACAGUUUGAGGAUAUUCGUAUGAACAUGUCAGAGGUGAAAUUCUUGGAUUUUGAUCAGACGAACUACUGCGAAAGCAUUUAUCAAGGAUGUUUUCAUUAA